UGGUUCAUCUCUGAAGCAAAUACGUGUCCACCGGUGAAUCGUCCAUUUGUUGUUAUUAUUUGGAAAUCGUUGAAAAUUUUUAAUGCCGUACACGACUCGAAAACUGUAGUCGUUUAAAGCUAACGCGUAACGGGUGUAGGAAACCGCGAACGAAAACUCGCAGCGACAUUUGCAAAUUGACAGUUGAUUGGCGGUCGUAUCGCGCACGCCAUUUAGUUAAAUUAUUUUUUCAUCUCUUCGAUUGCUUGUGUUAGAGCUUUUUCUUCCAUCAAAGCGCCAUUUUUUUCUCUUUGGCGUUCGCCUCUGUUUUUCUGUCUGAUACCCACACCAGGGAUGGCGAACCUUUAUGGGGAUCGACGUGCCGUGAAAUAAUUUUAAUCCAGUGAUUAUUAUAGAAAAAUAUCAAAACUAAAUACUAACAACUCAAAACUCGUAAUAGUUUAGAUCGAACUUUGUUAUUUUUAACUAGAACGCAAACCGUUUUGAUCAGUGUCGUGCCCGAAAUAUUAUGUCGCGUGUCAUUGGUUCGCCAUCCCUGACCUACACCAUCAUGUUAUCAUUUUACCGUCAUUACCUUCACCUCCCAUUCUGACUUUUAUUGAGAGCUAUUCUCACAAAGUAACUACUUUUGCAAUGAUUCGUGGAAAUAUUUAUAUGUCACCGAUUAGGAAGAAUAUUGCGAUAGGAUGUUUAGAAUUCGUUGAGCCGGAACGGAGUUAGGUUGAUCGAAAAUUUCUGUAGCCAUUACGGAAGUCAUCACAAUGGAUCGAACUUCUCAUAAUGAUCGUCAAGUUUAUUCUAAACGUACGGCGACGCACGAAAACUUUAAUGCAUACAGACCUGUCAGAAUACUCGAAGGCUAUUGCGUCGUCAAUAAUGUCGACGGUAGAUAAGUAUAGAUGGGCAACCCUUAUCUACCAUGAAGAAUUCCCCUUCCUGGCGGCAGUAGAAAGGGUGACUAUCUGCGUUCCAACUUCCGCAAGGAGGUGUCUAGGUGAUAUAGCUACCGCGGUAUCUGGUGCUUUUAGUCGAUUUCACCGUCUAGUCUACCGGGAAAUGGCCUUCUUGGCUAGUUCUUACCAUCCGAUUGCACCACCAACCGAAUGAGAAGUCGAUACCUACCACCUUAAUAGAGGAAACCGAAACACACGAUUGUAAAAUGUUUUUGGGAAUCGAAAGUACGCAUCUUUGGAAAUUUCGAAAGAUGACCGAAAAAUUUAUGGAAAUUUCAAACAACCGAAAUUUCUAUGCGAGGACAUCGAGUAAAAAAAAUUCAUACCUCGGUCAUCGCGAUUAUAAAACAUAAAAAUGAUACGAGUUUGAAAAAAGCACCGUGCGGUUUUACGCCAGCUAUCGGCAUAUGACGUCAAUGUGCCGAAAUCCUAUUAUAGGCGAGCGGCAUCAUUCGGCCGUGUCGAUAUAGAUAACUUUGUUCAUCGGCGGUCAAAAAAGCUUUUCCGAAUCGAGCAAGGAAUCGUCUGCCGAGCCUUUCACCCCCCUGACGAAAACUAAUGACUCGCAUAUGUGAGAUAAACCUCAUAACAGAGGAAUUGAUGACUGUGUUCCCGGUUUGAAAGCUUCCGUUGCGGUGAUGAGAUGAGCUUAGAGCUGAGCUUGAGUGAGUGAAAGGUAGAUAUUAACGCGAGGCGCUUCUGUCAGAUAUAUGCAAAUCCUGUCAGGAGCUACAAUUCUGUACACAGUUAUCGAAUAUAAUGGAAGCAUAGCUGGACAUACCGUAUAAUUAUAGAGAGAGGGAAACGGACGCCUGUGUAUACCGUAAGGGACCGAACAUGAAAAGCAAGGCAAUGACAGCCGCCUGGGUAGAUCCCCUAAUGAAUGGGCCGAGGGUUAUAGGAAACACAUGGUAAUGUCGUAUAGGUAUACGCGUUACACAAUCGUGCUAAAUUCGAUGCCAAACACACUACGCGUAUACCCGGUUUCACCGUACAACUUUGCUCGGAUGAAAACGUUUGAACUCGAUACGAUAACACGUACACCGUAUAGAAACGAAUGUUUCAUAACGGACCAUUGAAAUAAUUUCACAUCUUUCCCGAUGGCCGAUACAGCUACCGCCACACAUCGCACGUCAUCAUCUUUGAUGCUUUACGGCCGCACGCGAUGCAUCGAUGCAGCGACCACAUUAAAGACAGGUGAUAAAAGCCACCGGGAACAUUCCAUGAAGUAGGAACUACCGGAGGCAAGAUCGAACGAAGGAUCUGGAGCAGGCCAUUCAAAGAUCGCAUGAGGGUCGCCAGUUAUGAUCUCGCAAUCGUAAAAAUUGCCAGCUCACCGAAGACCGUCGAUGUAGAAUGUACAGGAAUAUCUGCGAACCAACUGAUUCCGGUUACACGAAAUCGCCCGUGUACGUACGUACGUACGUACACUAUGCACAUACGCAUAUCGUUCGGAGAUAACUGGGCCAUUAAUACGGUUAAAUUAUUACUCCAAUUCCCUAACACGCCGCACUUUAGAAGCUCACCGUGUGAAUCCGAUGCCGAGAGAAGCGGGCGAUGAAGAGAUGAAGAAGCGGUAGAGGGAGAGGGAGAGGGGAGGAGUGCUUUGUCUCUUUAGGGAUUUAGUACCUUCCAUGAUAACACUAACGCUAAGACUUUACGUAACACGUCAUGUGGCACUGUACUUACAUGCGGUACGAUACGUCGAAAACUAUUACCGCGUUAUUUUUAUCACUCUACCAGACGAACUUAAUUAUUUUCAUUUUUCGAUCGGAUAGUUUCAGCGGAAACUAGAAGCAUCGAUUGAAAUCGAUAGAAAAAAGUUGAAUUUGUUUUUUUUUUUAUUUCCCCCGCCUUUAUAUGAAUUUUUGUUUGGCGGAUGUAGUUUGCGGAAGUAAUGAGAACGAGUCCGACGACUUUCACACAUCGGUUAUCAACGCUUUCUUCGUUUUGGCACAGAGCCAAGGCCAUUAUACCGUCUAGUUCGGGAUUGCUCAUAUCAUUCCUUUAUUUUUGUCAGCGGUCGAUGCACUUUUGUCGUCUGUUUUUUUGCCCCAGAAACGGCAGGAGCGCGGGAACGAUGAUAAAAACUCGACCGUAUAGAAUCGGAAUGAAGGUAAAUUAGUGACGAGAGAAAACAAAUAACUUGACCUUGACAACCGAGAUCCGUACGGUAAUAGGGCGGAAGGAAGGCUUCCGCCGUCGAUGGUUCGAUAAAUAAAUCCGCCGUAGUAUGAGACAAUGUUGACAAUGAAUAAGACAUUGUUGAAUUUUCGGAAGUUGUAACCCACCCCCCACCCCCCAUCGCCAACGCUUGUCACUAUAAACUUGUAAUCGCAUUUGUACUCGAACCCCCGUAUAACUUUUGUCUGUAAAAUGAUUAAUUAGCAGGAACUCUA